rnacentral:miRNA from 1 species
AGGCAGGGGCUGGUGCUGGGCGGG